rnacentral:rRNA from 1 species
ACGGGUGCGGAAGCGUGUGCAACCUGCCUUUAUCUGGGGGAUAUCCUUUCAAAAGGAAGAUUAAUACCCCAUAGUAUUUUACAUGGCUUCAUUUAGUAUUGAAAACUCCGGUGGAUAGAGAUGGGCACGCGCAAGAUUAGAUCGCUGGUGAGGUAACGGCUCACCAAGUCAGUGAUCUUUAGGGGGCCUGAGAGGGUGAUCCCCCACACUGGUACUGAGCCUGGUCCAACUCUCUACGGGAGGCAGCAGUGAGGAAUAUUGGACAAUGGGUGAGAGCCUGAUCCAGCCAUCCCGCGUGAAGGACGACGGCCCUAUGGGUUGUAAACUUCUUUUAUACUGGGAUAAACCUACUUACGUGUAAGUAGCUGAAGGUACAGUAUGAAUAAGCACCGGCUAACUCCGUGCCAGCAGCCGCGGUAAUACGGAGGGUGCAAGCGUUAUCCGGAUUUAUUGGGUUUAAAGGGUCCGUAGGCGGGCUCGUAAGUCAGUGGUGAAAUCUCAUAGCUUAACUAUGAAACUGCCAUUGAUACUGCGGGUCUUGAGUAAAGUAGAAGUGGCUGGAAUAAGUAGUGUAGCGGUGAAAUGCAUAGA